rnacentral:rRNA from 1 species
AUGGCAAUGGGCAUGGAGGUCGAUCAGGACCUCCCCGGCUUCCGCUUCCACCCCACGGAGGAGGAGCUCCUCGGCUUCUACCUCUCCCGCGUCGCCCUCGGCAAGAAGCUCCACUUCGACAUCAUCGGCACCCUCAACAUCUACCGCCACGAUCCCUGGGAUCUUCCUGGGAUGGCAAAGAUCGGGGAGAGGGAGUGGUACUUCUUCGUGCCGCGUGACCGGAAGGCGGGGAGCGGCGGGCGGCCGAACCGGACGACGGAGCGGGGGUUCUGGAAGGCGACGGGGUCAGACAGGGCCAUCCGGAGCACCGCCGACCCCAAGCGUGUCAUCGGCCUCAAGAAGACGCUCGUCUUCUACCAGGGCCGCGCUCCGCGGGGCACCAAGACGGACUGGGUCAUGAACGAGUACCGCCUCCCCGACUCCGGCGCGGCGCCUCCCCAGGAGGACACGGUGCUAUGCAAGGUGUACCGGAAGGCCACGCCGCUCAAGGAGCUUGAGCAAAGAGCGUUUGAGAUGGAGGAGAUGAAGCAGAGGUCCGGCGGCAACGGUGGGUACGGCUACAGUGGCGCGGCCAGAGCGUGUCCGCCCCCGGUCCCGGCAGCCGGCGACUUCUACCUGUCUCCGUCCGACGACGUCCAGGAUAACUUCCUGAUCCCCUCCUCCUCGUCGUCGUCGUCAGUGGCGUUGUCCGGCAACAGCAGCUGCCACGACGCGCUCAGGGUAGCCAAGAAGGAAGCAGACGUCGCCACGGUCACCGUCGUGUCGAUGUCGUCUCUAUCGAAAGCUGCGAACGCCCCCUUCCAUCUUCAGCUCCCGGCCGUGAACCCACCCUGCGGCCUCCAGCUCCCGGCGGCGAACCAUGGGAUAUCCAGCCUGCAGCUCCCGGCGGCGAGCCAGGGUGUUGUGGACCUGCCGAGCCUGCAGCUCCCGGCGGCGAGCAGCCACGGAGUGUUCGACUGGCUAAAUGACCCGUUCCUAACGCAACUGCGCAGCCCGUGGCAGGACCAGCAUUGCAUGUCGCCUUAUGCCCAUCUGCUAUACUAG